rnacentral:rRNA from 1 species
CCUACGGGGUGCAGCAGUGGGGAAUAUUGGACAAUGGGCGAAAGCCUGAUCCAGCCAUGCCGCGUGUGUGAAGAAGGCCUUCGGGUUGUAAAGCACUUUCAGUGGGGAAGAAAGCCUUGGGGCUAAUACCCUCGAGGAAGGACAUCACCCACAGAAGAAGCACCGGCUAACUCCGUGCCAGCAGCCGCGGUAAUACGGAGGGUGCGAGCGUUAAUCGGAAUUACUGGGCGUAAAGCGCGCGUAGGCGGUCUGAUAAGCCGGUUGUGAAAGCCCCGGGCUCAACCUGGGAACGGCAUCCGGAACUGUCAGGCUAGAGUGCAGGAGAGGAAGGUAGAAUUCCCGGUGUAGCGGUGAAAUGCGUAGAGAUCGGGAGGAAUACCAGUGGCGAAGGCGGCCUUCUGGACUGACACUGACGCUGAGGUGCGAAAGCGUGGGUAGCAAACAGGAUUAGAUACCCUUUAGUC